AGGACCUGCAGGUACGGAAACGAGCAUGUCUACUUAGGCCUCCCAUCAACCUGGAUAUGAAACUACAGAGGUGAUCAAGACAGGUAAUGGGCAGGGAACACACCUGAAAAAUUGAGAUGACCGAAAAGCUUCAGAUUCAAAUUUUGGACUACAUUUUCUACAGUAAUUUUGGAGUUUAUCAGAGAGCACCUCCAGAACUUCGAUGGAUAAAACUGCACUUGCCUUACGUUGAGCCACGCGCACAAUACAUGUGGAUUCAGUUUUGUUCGUUCGGCUCGCGUUAAGCAAGUGCAGAACUUCUUCGAUGCCUAAUGUCUGUGACAUAUUUAGAUAAGAAGCCAGAAUAACUGCUAUGUUCUUUUCUUUGGAAUGUUUUUUUUUAAAUGGAAAAUAAGAGUGAAAUGUGAGAGAUUCACAGACAGCCACAACUGAUAAUUUUUCCUCUGUAAUGGUCAUGAUUUACAAUGUCCCCUGUUAUCCAACAUCAUGUUUGUUGAGUUAUCCACUUCCUCUCUUCUGUGCUGGUAAAUGAGGGCAAAGUUCUCACAUAUGCUGCAGUGAUGUAAUGGCAAAAUAAAGUUCUUCUUAACUCC